rnacentral:lncRNA from 1 species
UCUGCUAACAGCAAACUUGCUGCCACGUGAUGAUACAACCCAGCAACACAUAAGUGAAUUUGGCAAAAACUAAGGAAUCCAGAGCAAAAAGGGAGAGGUGGCAGGCAUCACCGCUGGUCUCUGAGCAGGGAGCAUCAAGUCGUUCUGCAGGUUGCUGGGGAGGGGACAGAGGAGGCUCUUUCCCCCUGCACCAGUAAAUGA